GGGGGAAAAAUUAAUAAUUAUUAUAUUAAUAAAAAAAUUUUUAAAUUAUAUUUUAAUGGGGGUUAAAGUAUAUAUAUAGAAAAAAUUUUAAAAUUUAUAGUAAAAUAGUAUCGUAAAAGAAUUUUGAAAUAGGGGGAAAAUAAUUUAAUAAAAAGUAAAUUUAAUUUAUUGUAUUUUGUGUAUCAGAGUUUAUUAAUAAUAUUUUUUAGGUAAAAAUUUCUCGAAUUUAAAAGAGUUAAUUAAUUAUAAAAGUUAAUGUGGUAUAAUUAUUUUUAAUAAUUAAUUAGAAAUGAAAUGUUAAUCGUUUUUAAAAAUAUCUAGUUUUUUUAGAAAAAAAUUUAAUUUUAAAUAUUAUAAUUUAAAAUUUUUAUUUAAUAAAAUUUUAAUAGUUAAUAUUAAAUAUUUUAAGGGAUAAGCUUUAAAAUAAAUUUUUAUAAUUAAUUUUAAAAUUAAUUAAAAUUUUAAAAUUUAAAUUGUUUAAUAAAUUAUAAUUUUUUAUAAAUAAUUUAAUUAUAAUCAAGAUUUAAUAAAAAAAAUUUAAAUUUUUAUAAAAAAAUAUAUUUUAAUAAAAUAAAAUUAAAUAUAAUGAUAAAAUUAGUAUAUAAAUUUAAAUAAAUGAAUAAAUUUAAUUGAAGUUAAUUAAAGGAAUUCGGCAAAAUAUAUAUAUAUUCACUUGUUUAUCAAAAACAUGUCUUUUCGAAAAUAAUUUAAAGUCUAAUCUGCCCACUGAUAAAUUAUUAAAGGGCUGCAGUAUUUUGACUGUACAAAGGUAGCAUAAUCAUUAGUCUCUUAAUUGGUGACUUGUAUGAAAGAUUGGAUGAAAUAUAUACUGUCUCUAUUUAAUCUAUAAAAUUUAAUUUUUUAGUUAAAAAGCUAAAAUAAAUUUAAAAGACGAGAAGACCCUAUAGAGUUUGAUAAUUUAUUUAAUUAUUAUUCAUAUAUAAAUUUAAAAAUUAAAGUUAAAUAAAUUAUUUUAUUGGGGUGAUAGAAAAAUUAAAUUAACUUUUUCUUAUUUUAUACAUUAAUUUAUGAAUGAAUGAUCCAUUAAUAAUGAUUAAAAGAAAAAAUUACCUUAGGGAUAACAGCGUAAUUUUUCUUUUUAGUUCAAAUAGGAAAAAAAGUUUGCGACCUCGAUGUUGGAUUAAGAUAAAAUUUAAAUGAAAAAGUUUAAAAUUUUGAUCUGUUCGAUCAUUAAAAUCUUACAUGAUCUGAGUUCAAACCGGUGUGAGCCAGGUUGGUUUCUAUCUUUAAAUGAAAAUGAUAUUUUAGUACGAAAGGACCAAAUAUUAAAAAUAAUUUUAAUAAAAUGAAUAUUAAUAAAUAAUUAAUUAUA
rnacentral:rRNA from 1 species